rnacentral:misc_RNA from 1 species
GUCAAUCUUGUCUAAAACCGGAUCAUCCCUUGCAAAUUUACGAGCAAAUGGUGCCUUGCUUUUAACCAUUUUGUCGAAGUCUUUCAUGGUCAAAGAGAUAGGAUGCUGCUUUGGAGGAGUGUCCCAAGCAAUGUAGUGAAGAUCAUGGCCUAUUGCUGUGUUUCGGAAUUCUUCUGUGUUGCAAAUAAGAGUAUGGAAGUAUCCUUCUGGAGAGGAGAUGAAAUUUGUGUAGUACAUUAAGAGAGUUCGUGGGAGGUUAUUCCAUCCCAUUAUAGAGUAUUCUAAAAAGGAUCGGGUUAGCAUUACCCAUGCUGAACCAGUAAACAACUUGAAAGAAGUGGGAAGUGAACGACGUUGAGAAGUCAAAGCAAGGUCAUAUUUCUUUGAUAAGUAAAGGCCUGGAUCAAUGAUAAUUGGUUUUGCCCUUUGGUUCAGUUUCCAUCCAGUAAUCUUCGUAUGUUCAAUGAAGUUUAGAUUUCUAGACAUAUUUGAGAAUACAAGAAGCAAAUCAUCUUGUGUCACAAGAGGAUAAUCCGAAGCACUGAGGUUAAUGAACCAAUCCCACUCCAAGCUCUCCCUCAACAUAAUUGCAAUCGCUUGAAGUGUACACGCUAUCAUAGUUGGCCCCUUAUAGGUCACCAAAUUGGACUGUGCCAUUAUACGUACAUUCCCAACUUCUAGAAAUGUCG